GACGAAAGCUGGCGGCGUGCCUAAUACAUGCAAGUAGAACGCAGUUGCGAACGGGUGAGUAACGCGUAGGUAACUGCCUCAUAGCGGGGGAUAACUAUUGGAAACGAUAGCUAAUACCGCAUACUGUGAGAUGGACCUGCGUUUUAUUAGCUAGUUGGUGGGGUAAAGGCUCACCAAGGCGACGAUACAUAGCCGACCUGAGAGGUUGAUCUGCCACAGUGGGACUGAGACACGGCCCAGCCUCCGACGGGAGGCAGCAGGAGGGAAUCUGCGGCAAUGGACUAAAUUCUGACCGAGCAACGCCGCGUGAGUGAAGAAGGUUUUCGGAUCGUAAAGCUCUGUGGUUAGAGAAGCGGUAUCUAACCAGAAAGCCAAGGCUAACUACGUGCCAGCAGCCGCGGUAAUUC
rnacentral:rRNA from 1 species